UACGGAGGGUGCGAGCGUUGUCCGGAAUCACUGGGCGUAAAGGGCGCGUAGGCGCUCGUGAAGUCAGUGGUGAAAGCCCAGGCUCAACUCUGGGUCGGCCACUGAUACUCGCGAGCUCGAGUUUGGUAGAGGCAGAUGGAAUUCCGGGUGUAGCGGUGGAAUGCGUAGAGAUCCGGAAGAACACCGGUGGCGAAGGCGGUCUGCUGGGCCAAGACUGACGCUG
rnacentral:rRNA from 1 species